CAGCCGCCGCGGUAAUACCAGCAGCCCAAGUGGUGGUCGCGAUUAUUGGGCCUAAAGCGCUCGUAGCCGGGCCGGUAAGUCCCUUGUGAAAUCGGACGGCCUAACCGUUCGGCGUGCAAGGGAUACUGUCGGUCUUGAGGCCGGGAGACGUCCGAGGUACUCCGGGGGUAGCGGUGAAAUGUUCUAACCCUCGGGGGACCACCGGUGGCGAAGGCGUUCGACGAGAACGGGCCUGACGGUGAGGGGCGAAGGCUAGGGGAGCAAACGGGAUUAGAUACCCCAGUAGUCCCUGUCUCUUAUA
rnacentral:rRNA from 1 species